rnacentral:rRNA from 1 species
UACGGGGGGGGGCAAGCGUUGUUCGGAAUUACUGGGCGUAAAGGGCUCGUAGGCGGCCAACUAAGUCAGACGUGAAAUCCCUCGGCUUAACCGGGGAACUGCGUCUGAUACUGGAUGGCUUGAGUUUGGGAGAGGGAUGCGGAAUUCCAGGUGUAGCGGCGAAAUGCGUAGAUAUCUGGAGGAACACCGGUGGCGAAGGCGGCAUCCUGGACCGACACUGACGCUGAGGAGCGAAAGCCAGGGGAGCAAAGCGGG